rnacentral:lncRNA from 1 species
CCGCCUCCGGUGGCAUUCAAGGUGAUGUGCUUGCUACCGAUAACAAUACUGUAGGCAUGGGUGAUGCUGGUAUUAAAUCUGCCAUUCAAGGCUCUAAUGUUCCUAACCCUGAUGAGGCCGUCCCUAGUUUUGUUUCUGGUGCUAUGGCUAAAGCUGGUAAAGGACUUCUUGAAGGUACGUUGCAGGCUGGCACUUCUGCCGUUUCUGAUAAGUUGCUUGAUUUGGUUGGACUUGGUGGCAAGUCUGCCGCUGAUAAAGGAAAGGAUACUCGUGAUUAUCUUGCUGCUN